AGGGCACCACCAGGAGUGGAGCCUGCGGCUUAAUUUGACUCAACACGGGAAAACUCACCCGGCCCGGACACUGGAAGGAUUGACAGAUUGAGAGCUCUUUCUUGAUUCAGUGGGUGGUGGUGCAUGGCCGUUCUUAGUUGGUGGAGUGAUUUGUCUGGUUAAUUCCGAUAACGAACGAGACUCUAGCCUACUAAAUAGAUCGUCGGCUUACAAACGCCGGCGAGACUUCUUAGAGGGACAGGCGGUGAUUCAACCGCACGAAACAGAGCAAUAACGGGUCUGUGAUGCCCUUAGAUGUCCGGGGCCGCACGCGCGCUACACUGAAGUGAUCAGCGUGCUUUUUCAACCUACUCUGUCAAGAGUGGGGAACCCAAUGAACCUUCUUCGUGAUUGGGAUAGGGGAUUGUAAUUAUUCCCCUUGAACGAGGAAUUCCCAGUAAGCGCGAGUCAUAAGCUCGCGUUGAUUACGUCCCUGCCCUUUGUACACACCGCCCGUCGCUACUACCGAUUGAAUGUUUU
rnacentral:rRNA from 1 species